CUCGGUGGAACACUCUUGCCUAGCAUGCAUGAGGGCCUGGGUUUGAUCUACAGUGUGGAAUAAUCUGGGCAUGGUGGUAUGUGGCUAUAAGAGACAGGAGUAUCAGGAGUUUAUAUGAACUACAAGCUUGCAGUAUCCUUGGAGACCAGAAGAGGACAUCAGAUCCUCUGGAAUGGGAGGUACAGACUAUUGUGAGCCACAUUGUGGGUUCUGGGAACUAAACCCGGGUCCUCUGCAAGAACAGUAAACCUCUUAACCCCUGAGCCAUCUCUCCAGCCUCUAAUCUUUAAAAAAAAAAAAAAAAUAGCCCUCAAACCAGCCACAUUCUCCAAGGUUUACUCUGGGGCCUGAAAAAAACAUGUUUCUUACUGACCCCAAACACUGGGAGUCUAGGCUGAGCCCAAAGGGACCCAUCCCUGUUUCAUAGGACAUUUCAAACAUGGGACAGAUCCCGAGCCCUGUCCCCACUUUCCUCACUUCCAACUCCCCAUAGACUCCUGACAUGCACUCAAUUCUUCCUGAGGUAAGUGAGAGGGUUUGGAAAACAGUGGCAUUAGCUAUUCCUAAGGAGACCCCAGCCCUCGGGCCUCCCACCCCAUGACAUGGAUCCCUAGCCUGUGGCCAUGUGAGGUCAAGGGAUGAGAAGAGAGCACAUUUGCUCUGCCCUAUACAAGCCCACACUUUAAAGUGGAAACAAGGUAUCACUGGAGGUCUGAACUGGAAGGGGACAGCAGGCUGCAGAGGAAGUGAUAGAUCAGCCUGACGAUUCCAUACAGGGGUCACUUAAUCACAGAUGCUGGUAGCUGGCUGGAAAGGAAUGAGUCACAGGCAGGAACAGGGUUUGGGCUUCCUAGGGAAAGACGGUGACUCAGAUAGCCUCAGGAGGCCAGAUGUGGUCGGGAGCUAUGGUUUGAAUGUGGAACCUAAGGACUCACAUUGAGGCAGAACAGGGUAUCUGAGAGCAAGGACUCUGAAUUUAAGUAUUUUGGCUUUAAUCCCAGCUGUACAACUUACUAAUGCUGUCACCGGAGCAGGUGGUGCAACCUCUCUCCAGCUUCAAUGGCGGCACCAUGGGGAUUACUGGAAGACUCAAGUGCACAGCCGCAGCAACCCCGUGAAGAUGGGACCUCACUGCCCUUUCCUGUUUUGCUUUGUUUAUGGGGAUGGGUGUGUAAAUUUGCUAGUGUGGGUGAAGAACAAAGCACAGACUGGGUAACUGGCCUGGCUGAGGUCACAGAAGGCAGAGACUCCAGCGCCUUUUUACUCUCUUCAAGCUGUUUGUGCCAUUGCCCUGAAGGCAAGCCUGAGUGUGGCAGAGGGUCUCCAAGGGAGCCAGAGAAGUGACAAUCAUGCUCAUGCCUCUCCAUCAGGGACAGAGGUGUACAUAUGUUGGGGAGUGUGCGCAUGUGUGGAAGCCAGAAGUUGACACCAGGCAUCUUUCUCCAUGAUUUGAUACCCUUUUUGGUUUUUUAUUUUCGUUUUUUGAUUUUUUUUUUUUAAUUUUUCGAGAAAGGGUCUCUCUUUGUAGCUCUGUAGACCGGUCUGGCCUCGAACUCACAGAGAUCUGCCUGUCUCUACCUCCAAGUGCUGGGAUUAAAGGCGUGCACCACCACUGCCUCACUGCUACCUUAUUUUUAAAGUACUGUAUUUCACUCAUUUUUUGUAUGUAUG